CGUUGACGUUACGGCAAGGUCAAGUCGCCCGGCCCUGGUCCGGGCAUGAUCCGCGCCCGUCGACCGUUCAGCUUCGGCCCGUCCACGAC
rnacentral:tRNA from 1 species